rnacentral:rRNA from 1 species
GCCUGACGCAGCGACGCCGCGUGAGUGAUGAAGGCCCUCGGGUUGUAAAGCUCUGUGGGGAGAGAAGAAUAAGUGCAAGCUAAUACUUUGCAUGAUGACGGUAUCUCCUUAGCAAGCACCGGCUAACUCUGUGCCAGCAGCCGCGGUAAGACAGAGGGUGCAAACGUUGUUCGGAAUCACUGGGCGUAAAGCGCGUGUAGGCGGCUUCUCAAGUCGGGUGUGAAAUCCCAGGGCUCAACCCCUGGAAGUGCAUUCGAAACUGGGUAGCUAGAGUACUGGAGAGGAAGGUGGAAUGCUUGGUGUAGAGGUGAAAUUCGUAGAUAUCAAGCGGAACACCGGUGGCGAAGGCGGCCUUCUGGACAGAUACUGACGCUGAGACGCGAAAGCGUGGGGAGCAAACAGGAUUAGAUACCCUGGUAGUCCACGCCGUAAACGAUGAGUGCUAGAUGUCAGGAGCUUUGACCCUCUUGGCGUCGUAGCUAACGCAAUAAGCACUCCGCCU